rnacentral:rRNA from 1 species
UACGGGGGGGGCAAGCGUUGUUCGGAAUUACUGGGCGUAAAGGGUUUGUAGGUGGCUUGCUAAGUCAGACGUGAAAUCCCUCAGCUUAACUGGGGAACUGCGUCUGAGACUGGCAAGCUCGAGUGCAGGAGAGGAACGCGGAAUUCCAGGUGUAGCGGUGAAAUGCGUAGAUAUCUGGAGGAACACCGGUGGCGAAGGCGGCAUCCUGGACCGGCAUUGACGCUGAGGAGCGAAAGCUAGGGGAGCAAACGGG